ACGGGAGGCAGCAGUGGGGAAUUUUGGACAAUGGGGGCAACCCUGAUCCAGCCAUGCCGCGUGAGUGAAGAAGGCCUUCGGGUUGUAAAGCUCUUUCGGCCGGAACGAAAUCGCGUACGUGAAUAACGUGCGUGGAUGACGGUACUGGAAGAAGAAGCACCGGCUAACUACGUGCCAGCAGCCGCGGUAAUACGUAGGGUGCGAGCGUUAAUCGGAAUUACUGGGCGUAAAGCGUGCGCAGGCGGUUCUGCAAGUCAGAUGUGAAAUCCCCGGGCUUAACCUGGGAACUGCGUUUGAAACUACGGAGCUAGAGUACGGCAGAGGGGGGUGGAAUUCCACGUGUAACAGUGAAAUGCGUAGAUAUGUGGAGGAACACCGAUGGCGAAGGCAGCCCCCUGGGCCGAUACUGACGCUCAGGCACGAAAGCGUGGGGAGCAAACAGGAUUAGAUACCCUGGUAGUCCACGCCCUAAACUAUGUCAACUAGUUGUCGGGGAAGCAAUUCCUUGGUAACGAAGCUAACGCGUGAAGUUGACCGCCUGGGGAGUACGGUCGCAAGAUUAAAACUCAAA
rnacentral:rRNA from 1 species